UGUGUAACCUUCUCCAAAGGGCAGCGUGGAGAUGGAAAUCAGAUUAGUGGCAGUGGGGGCUGGGGAGAGUGGAGGCAGGACAGCGACUGUAGAGGGGGAUCCCAAGGGACAGCUUUACGUAGGCAUUAGGGGAAGCCAGGUGACAGGGACACAGGACACCUGUACUAGCUUUCAACAUCCUGUGAAUUGAUAUGUAUGGACUGAAUGUGCCGGCCCCAAAUCCUAUGUUGAAGCCCUAACCCCCAAGAUGAUGAGGCCUUUGGGACAUAAUGAGGCAGAGAUGACAUAAUCGGGGUGGGGUCACCACAGUGGACGAGUGCCCUUAUAAAAAGAGGAAGAGAGAGCUAUCCCCCCCUCCAAGUGCAUGCACCAGAGGAAGGCCAUGUGAGGACACAGCAAGAAGGCGGCCACCUACACGCCAAAAAGAGGGUCCUCGCCAGAAAGUGCCCACACAGGCACCUUGAUCUUGGACUUCCAGACUCCAGAACUGUGAAAACUAAAUGUCUGUUGUUUAAUGUUUAAGGCACCACUCAGUCCGUGUCAUUUUGUUGUAGCAGCCCAAGCAGACUAAGACGCUGUGAUUGUUUCAAAAUAAAAAGCUUAAGAACAAAAUAAAAUCUAAGGGUUAAUGCCAGCAAAUACCAAAACCAAAAUCAUGUGCGCUUUCAAUAGCGGGAAAAAGAUUUGCUAGAAGAAUAGAAAAUAAAUCUGGCUGAACAGAGCAGCAACCAAGACAAGUAAGAAUAAAAAGUGGGAGAGAGUGGGACUCGUUGGCGAACGAGGUCUUAAAUCCACGUGGAGGAGACCGGGCUUAUCCUUUCCCGUAGGUGUUGGUAAAAAUUCCAUCUCCUUGCCCCACAAGGAAGGUAGUCCUCCGCCGUGUUCUAGAAGUAAGGCUGAUAAAAAUUAGUUUCCUCGUGCAAUUUGCUGACAAGAACAUGGCUUCUAGUUUCAUCUCUCCUCCCGGUUUGCUCUAUAACUUUGGUCCCACUGCCCCCCUCAUCCUUGAGUUCCGUUUUCUGCAAAAAUCAAAGGUAGCGUCAUUUCUGAGAAACUUCCUGUAGAGAAUUAUAAUGUAAAACCCAGAAGUAAUGAGUCCUCUAAAAAAAAAAAAAAAGGAAUCUGUUACAGCAGCUG